GGGGAUUUGGCUCAGUGGUAGAGCGCUUGCCUAGCAAGCACAAGGUCACAAGGUCCUGGGUUCGGUCCCCAGCUCCG
rnacentral:tRNA from 1 species